GACGAACGCUGGCGGCGUGCCUAAUACAUGCAAGUCGAACGCAGUGGGGACGGGUGAGUAACACGUGGGUAACCUCCCGUCAGAGGGGAUAACACUUGGAAACAGGUGCUAAACCGCUACGGAAGGAUGGACCCGCGGUGCAUUAGCUAGAGGGUGAGGUAACGGCUCACCAAGGCCACGAUGCAUAGCCGACCUGAGAGGGUGAGCGGCCAAACGGGGACUGAGACACGGCCCAGACUCUGACGGGAGGCAGCAGUAGGGAAUCUUCGGCAAUGGACGAAAGUCUGAUCAAGCAAGGCCGCGUGAGUGAAGAAGGUUUUCGGAUCGUAAAACUCUUUUGUUAGAGAAGCGUUAUCUAACCAGAAAGCCACGGCUAACUACGUGCCAGCAGCCGCGGUAAUUC
rnacentral:rRNA from 1 species